UUCAAAAAAAAAAAAAACGGAGGAAAAGAAACUAACAAGGAUUCCCCUAGUAACGGCGAGUGAAGCGGGAAGAGCUCAAAUUUGUAAUCUGGCCCUUUCAGGGUCCGAGUUGUAAUCUCGAGAAGUGUUUUCCGCGCCGGACCGCAUACAAGUCUGUUGGAAUACAGCGUCAUAGUGGUGAGAACCCCGUAACUGAUGCGGAUGCCCGGUGCUUUGUGAUACACUUUCGAAGAGUCGAGUUGUUUGGGAAUGCAGCUCAAAUUGGGUGGUAAAUUCCAUCUAAAGCUAAAUAUUGGCGAGAGACCGAUAGCGAACAAGUACCGUGAGGGAAAGAUGAAAAGCACUUUGGAAAGAGAGUUAACAGUACGUGAAAUUGUUGGAAGGGAAACGCUUGAAGUCAGACUUGCUAUUCGGGAUUCAGCCGCAAGGUGUACUUUUCGAACCGCAGGCCAGCAUCAGUUUUUGGGGGUGGAAAAGGGUAGAGAGAAGGUAGCAGUCUAGGCUGUGUUAUAGCUCUUUGCUGGAUUCAUCCUUGGGGACUGAGGAACGCAGCACGCCGCAAGGCAAGGCUUUCGAGCUUUUCGUGCUUAGGAUGCUGGUGGAAUGGCUUUAAACGACCC
rnacentral:rRNA from 1 species